CCUGUUUUAAGAAAAAAAAAAAAAAACAAGGAAGUAAAACCAAAGACAGGCAGCCCGGCGCCAGGCCCGAAACCAGGCCCUGGCCUGCCUGACCUAAACCCAGUAGUUAAAAAUCAACUCAUAACUUAAAAACCGAUGUUAUUCAUAGAUUCCAGACAUUGUAUAGAAGAACACUGUGAAACUCCCUGCCCUGUUCUGUUUCUCUCUGAGCACCGGUGCAUGCAGCCCCUGUCACGUACUCCUUGCUUGCUCAAAUCAAUCACGACCCUUUCAUGUGAAAUCCUUAGAGUUGUGAGCCCUUAAAAGGGACAGGAAUUGCUCACUCGGGGAGUUCGGAUUUUAAGGCAGUAGCUUGCCGAUGCUCCCAGAUGAAUAAAGCCCUUCCUUCUACAACUCGGUGUCUGAGAGGUUUUUGUCUGCGGCUUGUCCUGCUACAUUUCUUGGUUCCCUGACCGGGAAGCGAGGUGACUGACGGCCGGCUUAAACCUGCCCUGUGGAGCGUCCCUGUGGGGGACUCCAGACAGCUUGAGUGACGCGAUCCAAAGAGUGCUCCCGGGUAGGCAAUUGCCCCAGUGGAACGCGUCGCCAGAGCAGCAUGUAGCAGGCCCCCACAGAGGAUUAACACAGUGGCUGAACACCAGGAAGGAACUGGCACUUGGAGUCCGGACAUCUGAAACUUGGUAAGACUAGUCUUUGGAACUUGCCCCACUCCAUCUGAGUGGAAGCAUGGCCUGAUCACCCAUGGCGGGUCUGCAUUGGCACUUUUGUUCUGGUUUUAACUUGACUUGAAUUGCUGGAUACUUUGGUUUUGGUUUUGACUUGUCUUGGAUUUUUUGGUACUCGGAUUUUGAAUUUCGUGAUUUUGGUUUGGUAUAAACGGUAAAAGUGUAUGUGUGCCCUUUUUACCUGUUCUUUGUCUUGUGGUGAGUGUGUGUGAUGUGAGCAUGGUAUUUUGUAUCAAAAAAAAAAAGCAGCAUGGGUCAGGCAAAUAAGCCCACCCCACUAGGAACUAUGUUAAAAAGAGAAUUUCAAGAGAGAAUUUAAGGGAGAUUACGGUGUUACUGUGGCACCAGGAAAACUUAAAACUUUGUGUGAAAUAGACUGGACAGCAUUAGAGGUGGGUUGGCCUGGACAGGUCCGUUGUUUCAAAGGUAUGACAGAAGGCCACCUGUAAGCCAAGGCACCCAGACCAGUUUCUGUACAUAGACAGUUACAGCUGGUUUUAGACCCCCUUCCCCCCCACAGCAGUCAAGAGAAUAGCAGCAUAAUGGCCGGGCACGGUGGCUCAAACCUGUAAUCCCAGCACUUUGGGAGGCCGAGGCGGGCGGAUCACAAGGUCAGGAGAUCGAGACCAUCCUGGCUAACACGGUGAAACCCCGUCUCUACUAAAAAUACAAAAAAAAAAAAUUAGCUGGGCGUGGUGGCAGGCACCUGUAGUCCCAGCUGCUGGGGAGGCUGAGGCAGGAGAAUGGCAUGAACCUAGGAGGCGGAGCUUGCAGUGAGCUGAGAUCGCACCACUGCACUCUAGCCCGGGCGACAGAGCAAGACUCCAUCUCAAAAAAAAGAAUAGCGGCAUAAAUGGCUGGCAGAGGCAAGGAAAGACCAGCAGAGAGAAAAAGAGGCCAUCUAUACCAAUUCUAAGUUAAUUUAGACUAAACAAGGUCUUAUUAAUAGCAAAGGAUAAUUGAAAUCCCAAACUUACAAGGUUUUCAACAAAAGUGACGUUUGCUAAAAGUUAACAGUGUAACAUGUAUUAUGGUAACUUCUAAUCUUGUGGCCUUGGACAGUCUAGUCCAAAGACAUAAGGAAUGGUUAUCUUCAAAAAAAGAAAAAAAAAGGGGGGCAGGCAAAAUUUAUGUAAAAAGAGUGUUAUAUGGUAAAUUCUUGUCCUGAAAUAAAUUAACUGUUUGUUUAAAGAAAAAAAGUUUGUAAUAAGUCAGAAAGUUGAGACAUGUUGAAAAAUUGUCUCCAAAAGUUGUAAACAAAAAAUGAAGGGGUGGGUUGCCCCUCCACACCUUUGGGUGUUUCUUGUUAGGUGGAACGAGAGACUUGGAAAAGAAAAAGACAUGGAGACAAAGUAUAGAGAAAGAAAUAAGGGGGCCCAGGGGACCAGCGUUCAGCAUACGGAGGAUCCCGCCGGACUCUAAGUUCCCUUAGUAUUUAUUGAUCAUUAUUGGGUGUUUCUCUCUCAGAGAGGGGGAUGUGGCAGGGUCAUAGGAUAAUAGUGGAGAGAAGGUCAGCAGGUAAACACGUGAACAAAGCUCUCUGCAUCAUGAACAAGGUAAAGAAUUAAGUGCUGUGCUUUAGAUAUGCAUACACAUAAACAUCUCAAUGCCUUAAAGAGCAGUAUUGCCCACCGCAUGUCCCACCUCCACCCCUGAGGCGGUUUUCCCCUAUCUCAGUAGAUGGAAUAUACAAUUGGGUUUUACACUGAGACAUUCCAUUGCCCAGGGACGCGCAGGAGAUAGAUGCCUUCCUCUUGUCUCAACUGCAAAGAGGCAUUCCUUCCUCUUUUACUAAUUCUCCUCAGCACAGAACCUUUACGGGUGUCGGGCUGGGGGAUGGUCAGGUCUUUCCCUUCCCACGAGGCCAUAUUUCAGACUAUCACAUGGGGAGAAACCUUGGACAAUACCUGGCUUUCCUAGGCAGAGGUCCCUGAGGCCUUCUGCAGUGUUUGUGUCCCUGGGUACUUGAGAUUAGGGAGUGGUGAUGACUCUUAAUGAGCAUGCCGCCUUCAAGCAUAAAAAAUUGGUCAAACAUAAAAAAUUGGAUAAAUAUGUCUACAAGGUUUUAUUAAAAUUAAGUUUAACAUUAACAACACACUAAUAUAAAGGUAAAAUUUAACUUAUCUGGUAUAAAAAUCAUACAAGAAACAUUAUUAAAUAUAAAAUAAUGUUUAGCUUUCUUUGGUCUAAAAACUAAUAAAAAUAGGUGCUAAAGGAAACAUUCAUUUUACUAGAGGACCAUACAAGUUAAAGACUUAAAACAAACUUUGGCAAUUAAGACGGCAUACCAAGAUGCAAAUGCCUGGUUGAAAUGGAUCAUAUAUUCCAUCUGCACGUUAAACAAAAGCAAUUGUUAUGCUUGUGCACGUGGCAGGCCAGAGGCCCUGAUUGUCCCCCUUCCACUAAGGUGGUCCUCCAGUCGACCAGGCGUGGGCUGCAUGGUAGCUCUUUUCCAGGAUUCUACAGCCUGGAGUGAUAAGUCAUGCCAAGCUCUCUCUGCUAUAUCCUGAAGUCCCUGCGGGUCAGCCCCGGAGGGCCAUCCAACUUAUGUCUCCCAACACUAAGUUCACUUCUUGUCUCUCAUGGCAGGGAGGAGAUUUAGCAUUCCUUGGAGACCUGAAGGGAUGCAGUGAGCUUAAGAAUUUUCAAGAGCUUAUCAAUCAGUCAGCCUCUGUUCAUCCCCGAGUGGAUGUAUGGUGGUAUUGUGGUGGACCUUUACUGGGCACUCUGCUGAAUAACUAGAGUGGCACUUGUGCUUUAGUCCAUUUGGCUAUCCCUUUUACCCUGGCAUUUCAUCAACCAGAGGAAAAAAAAAAAAUAAGACAUCAUAAAGCGAGAGAAGCUCCUUAUAGGUCUUUCAACUCUCACAUCUAUUUAGAUGCAACUGGAGCCCCGCAAGGAAUACCAGAUCAAUUUAAAGCUUGAAAUCAAAUAGUUACAGGAUUUAAGUCAAUAUUUUGAUAGAUGACAGUCAAUAAAAAUGUAGAUUAGAAAAACUACAUCUAUUACAAUGAGCUUUACAUGAGUUAAAAAAAAACUCCUUUUGGGCCCAGCCCUGAGGCUAUCUGACCUGACAAAACUCUUUACACUCUAUGUGUCAGAAAGAGAAAAAAUGGCAGUUAGAGUUUUAACCCAGACUGUAGGGCCCUGGCCAAGGCCAGUGGCCUAUCUCUCAAAGCAACUAGACGGGGUUUCCAAAGGCUGGCCCCACGUCCAAGGGCCCUGGCAGCAACGGCCCUGUUAGCACAAGAAGCAAAUAAGCUAACUCUUAGGCAAAACCUAAAGUCCCCCCAUGCUGUGGUGAUUUUAAUAAAUACCAAAGGACACCAUUAACUAAUGAAUGCUGGACUAACUAGAUACCAAAGCUUGCUCUGUGAAAAUCCCUGCAUAACCAUUGAAGUUUGCAACACCCUAAACCCCGCCAUCUUGCUGGGCAUCUUGUAUCAGAGAGCCCAGUUAAACAUAACUGUGUAGAAGUAUUGGACUCAGUUUAUUCUAGUGGGCCCAAACUCCGAGACCAUCCUUAAACAGCAGUAGACUGGGAGCUGUACGCGGAUGGGAGCAGCUUCGCCAACCCCUGCAAAGUGACUCUGAAGAAGACGACAAGCCCUGCUCCAGUCAUACCCGGAAGCUGACUGGUCCACACACAGCUGAAGCAUGAGGAAACUCAUAGCAGGGGACUCAUUUUCCUUAAAAUUUGGACUUGUAUUGUAAGGACUUCAACUGACCUUCCUAAGACUGAGGGCUGUUCCCAGUAUAUACAUCAAGUCACUGAGGGACAAAAGAUUGCUAAAGUCUUAUUAUUUUAUGGUUAUUAUAAGUGUACCAGGACUCUAAAAGUUGUUUGUAUAAUGCAAUUCUAUCCAAGGUAUGUAGCCCAGGAAAUAACCAACCUGAUGCGUGUUAUGACCCAUUUUAAGCCUCCCAUGAUCAGUUUUUAAAAUAAAAUUAAUGACUGGUCCUUUUCUAGGCGACACAAGUAAAGUAAUAGCUAGGACAGAAGAAAGAGGGGUCUCCAAGCAUAUAACCCUAAAAUUUAAUGCUUGUGCCACUAUCAAUAGUAAUUGGCAUAAAAUAAGAUGCAGUUCUUUAAGUUGAAAAAAAAAAAGUUUACACGGCAGGAAAUAAGUAUAUCUGCCAUGAAUUAAGCUCAUGUGCAAAUGUGUGUAAUUACUGGUCUUGUGUCAUCUAGACUACUUAGAAAAAGGAUGAAAAAGAUCCUGUUUAGCUCCAAAAAGGAGAAUGCAGCCCCUCCUAUACGAGUGGACAUUGGAACCCCUUGAAAUUAAUAAUUACAAAUCCCUUAAACCCAAGGUAGAAAAAAGGAGAACACGUAUCUCUGGGCAUCAAUAGGAAAAGACUAGGUCCUACAGCAAAUAUCUUAGUAAAAGAGGAGUUUUGUAAACUCUCUCUGGAACCAGUAUUUCAGACUUUCUAUGAUGAACUAAAUUUGCCAGUACCAAGAGACUCCAGGAAAAACCAGAAAUUUGUUUUUGCAAUUAGCCGAGCGUGUAGCCCAGUCUCUAAAUGUCACUUCAUGUUAUGUUUGUGAAAAAACUGUAAUAAGAGCUCAAUGGCCAUAAAAAGCCCAAGAAUUAGUGCCUACAGACGCAGUUCCUGAUGAAUUCCUGGCCCACAAGAAUCACCCUGAUCAUCUCUAGGUUCUAAAAGUCUCAAUUAUUGGACAAUAUUACAUAGCUAGAAAAAAGAAAGAAUUCACUCAUUCUAUAGGAUGUCUUAGUUGUUUGGGCCAAGAACUGUAUAAUGGUACCGCAAAAAAACAGUUACAUGGUGAAGUUCCAAUUAUAUAGAAAGAGAUCCAUUCAGUAAAUUUCCAAGGUUGCAGACUGUCUGGGCCCACCUGGAAUUCCACCGGGACUGGACUGCCCCCACCAAGUUAUACUGAAUACGUAGACAUAGAGCUUAAGCUAAGCUGCCUGACCAGUGGACAGGUAGUUGUGUUAUUGGCACUAUUAAACCAUCUUUCUUUCUACUGACCAUAAAAACAGGCAAACUCCUGGGCUUCCCUGUCUAUGCUUCCCGCGGAAAAUGAAGCAUAGCCAUAGGAAAUUGGAAAGAUGAUAAAUGACCUUCAAAAAAAAAUUAUAUAAUACUAUAGGCCUGCCACUUAGACACAAGACGGCUCAUGGGGAUACUGGACCCCCACUUACAUGCUCAACUGAAUCAUACAGCUGCAAGCUGUUUUAGAAAUCAUCACUAGUAAAACCAGUCAAGCCUUGACUAUUCUGGCCCAGCAAGAAACUCAGAUAAGAAAUGCUAUCUAUCAAAAUAGAUUGGCUCUCAACUACUUGCUAGCAGCUGAAAGAGAGGUCUAUAAGAAAUUUAACCUUACUAAUUACUGUCUACACAUAGAUAAUCAAAGGCAAGUAGUUAAAGACAUAGUUAAAAAUAUGACAAAACUGACACAUGUGCCCAUGCAAGUGUAGCAUGAAUUCGAUCCUGAAGCCAUGUUUAAAAAUUAGUUCCCAGCACUAGAAGGAUUUAAAACUCUUAUAAUAGAAUUUAUAAUAGUAAUAAGAACCUGUUUACUGCUUCCUUGUUUGCUACCUGUACUUCUUCAAAUGAUAAAAAGCUUCAUCACUAUCUUAGUUCACCAAAAUGCUUUAGCACAAGUGUACUAUAUAAAUCACUAUCAAUCUAUUGCACAAAAAGACAUAAGUAGCAAAAAUAAAAGUCAGAACUCCCACUAAUAGAAAGUGAGAGUCUCAAAGGGGGGAAAUGAGGGGAGAGAGAGACCUUCUCAUAUUGUUUUAUAUUGUUUUAUACUCAGUACCUAUUUUAAGAAAAAAAAAAAAAAAAAACAAGGAAGUAAAACCAAAGACAGGCAGCCCAGCGCCAGGCCCGAAACCAAGCCUGGGCCUGCCUGGCCUAAACCCAGUAGUUAAAAAUCAACUCAUAACUUAAAAACCGAUGUUAUUCAUAGAUUCCAGACAUUGUGCAGAAGAACAUUGUGAAACUCCCUGCCCUGUUCUGUUUCUCUCUGACCACCGGUGCAUGCAGCCCCUGUCACGUACCCCUUGCUUGCUCCAAAUCAAUCACGACCCUUUCAUGUGAAAUCCUUAGAGUUGUGAGCCCUUAAAAGGGACAGGAAUUGCUCUCUUGGGGAGUUCGGAUUUUAAGGCAGUAGCUUGCCGAUGCUCCCAGCUGAAUAAAGCCCUUCCUUCUACAACUCGGUGUCUGAGAGGUUUUGUCUGCGGCUCAUCCUGCUACAAGUUCACAAGUGUAGGUCAUGAUGUCCUCCUUUUACUCCUACAGGGACUCAUAAGAAACAGGUUUAAUAUUGGACAGGUGUACCCAGCUAGUGAUUUCCUAAAGGUUAAUAGUAGUUGGGGGUACUUAACAAUACCUAUUAAAGGCUCUUUUAUUUUGGUUGUAAUUGAUUCUCGGGGUAGGGGGACAGAGUGAGACUCUGUCUCAAAAAAAAAAAAUUACAAGAAAUUUUGCUUUUCAAUACUAUAACCUGUUUCUUUUAAGAACUUAUCACCCGGGCACGGUGGCUCACGCCUGUAAUCCCAGCACUUUGGAAGACCAAGAAGGGCAGAUCACGAGGUCAGGAGAUCGAGACCAUCCUGGCUAACACGGUGAAACCCUGUAUCUACUAAAAAAAUACAAAAAAAUUAGUCAGCGUGGUGGUGGGCGCCUGUAGUCCCAACACUUUGGGAUGCCAAGGCAGGUGAAUCACCUGAGGUCGGGAGUUCAAGACCAGCCUGACCAACAUGGAGAAACCCCGUCUUUACUAAAAAGUACAAAAUCGGUCGGGUGUGGUGGCGCAUGCCUGUAAUCCCAGCUACUCGGGAGGCUGAGGCAGGAGAAUCACUUGAACCCGGGAGGCGGAGGUUUUGGUGAGCCGAGAUCGUGCCAUUGCACUACAGCCUGGGCAACAAGAGGAAAACUCCAUCUCAAAAAUAAAAUAAAAUAGGCCAGGUGCGGUGGCUCACUCCUGUAAUCUGAGCACUUUGGGAAGCUGAGGUGGGUGGAUCACGAGGUCAAGAGAUUGAGACCUCCCUGGCUAACAUGGUGAAACCCCAUCUCUACUAAAAAUACAAAAAAUUAGCCGGGCGCAGUGGCGGGCGCCUGUAGUCCCAGCUACUCGGGAGGCUGAGGAAGGAGAAUGGCGUGAACCCAGGAGACGGAGCUUGCAGUGAGCCGAGGUCGUGCCACUGCACUCCAGCCUGGGUGACAGAGCGAGACUCCAUCUCAAAAAAUAAAACUAAAUAAAUAAAUAAAAUAAAAUAAAUAACCAGUCAUUUCACUCUAGGACAAGAAUUUACCACAUAAGAUUUUACCUCAUGUAAAAUUACUCGUGUGUGUGUGUGUGUGUGUGUGUGUGUGUGUGUGUGUGUAUUUUUUAUUUUUUAUUUUUUUGAGUCAGAGUCUCGCUCUGUUGCCAGACUAGAGUGUAGUGGCACAGAUCUCGGCUCACUGCAACCUCCACCUCCCGGGUUCAAGCGAUUCUCCUGCCUCAGCCUCCGGAGUAGCCGGGACUACAGGCGCACACCACCACGCUCAGCUAAUAUGUUUGUGUUUUUAGUAGAGACAGGGUUUCACAAUGUUGGCCAGGAUGGUCUCGAUUUCUUAACCGCAUGAUCCGCCUGCCUCAGCCUCUCAAAGUGCUGGGAUUAUAGGCGUGAGCCACCACGCCCGGCCUCGGCCUAUAUUUUUAAAAUUAAAAAUACAUCUUUAUUUCUGUAUCUUUCUUUCUUUCUCUCUCUCUUUCUUUCCUUCUUUCUUUUUUUAAGACGGAGUUUCACUAUUGUUGCCCAGGCUGGAGUGCAAUGGUGCAACCUCAGCUCACCACAGCCUCCGCCUCCCGAGUUCAAGCGAUUCUCCUGUCUCAGCCUCCCGAGUAGCUGGGAUUACAGGCGCAUAUACCACCACGCCCAGCUAAUUUUUGUGUUUUUAGUACAGACAGGGUUUUAUCAUAUUGGUCAGGCUGGUCCCGAACUUCUGACCUCAGGUGAUCCGCCCGCCUCGGCCUCCCAAAGUGCUGGGAUUACAGGCGUGAGCCACCGCACCCGGCCUAUAUCUUUCUUUAUAUCUCUUUCUCCUACUUACUGGUUUCUUUUUCAUUUUUUAAUUUUUUGAGACAAGGUUUCAGUCUGUUGCCCAAACUGGAGCAAUCAUAGCUCACUGCAGCCUCAACCUCCCAGGCUCAAGCAAUCUUCUCACCUAAGUCUCACGAAUAGCUGGGUCCACAGGCAUGUACCACCACGCCCUGCUCAUUUUUUUGUUUGUUUAGGGAUAGGGUCUCCCUAUGUUGCCCAGGCUGGUCUCAAACUCCUGUGCUCAAUUGAUCCUCUGCCUUGGCCUCCCAAAGUACUGGAAUUACACGUGUGAACCACUGCACCUGGCCCAGUUUCUUAUUUUAAACUUCUCUUUAAAUAAUACCCAAAUUGGCCAAAAGAAAAAAUUAAUAAGAGCACCAUCUUUUGGCAUAUUUUAUAUACAGAAUUACAUGUUACCUUAAAUUCUUAACAAACAUAAAUUUUAGUGAAAAUCUAGGAAUCCAGAAAUCAUGCCCCAGUUUAUUUGUUUUGUUUUGUUUGAGAUGGAGUCUUGCUCUGUCACCCAGGCAAUGGCGCAACCUCGACUCACUGCAAUCUCUGCCUCCUGAGUUCAAGGGAUUCUCCUGCCUCAGCCUCCUGAGUAGCUGGGAUUACAGGUGCAUGGUACCACACCCAGCUAAUUUUUUGUAUUUUUAGUAAAGACGGGGUUUCACCCUGUUAGCCAGGAUAGUCUCGAUCUCCUGACCUCAUGAUCCACCCGCCUCGGCCUCCCAAAGUGCCGGGAUUACAGGCAUGACCCACUGUGCCCGGCCAAUCCUGCUCCAGUUUAAGAUUUUAAGCCACACAAAAAGCACACCCACAAAUAUUUAUUUAUAUGUAUUUAACUUUUUUACUUUUGACAGUUUUAUGUAGACCACUUCUGGGAACUAAAAUGCCAUAAAAGAGGGCAGGGAGGGGAAAGAGAAAUUAAUUAAUUAAUUAAAUUUAAUGCCAUAUAAAGCCAAUUAAAAUUUUAAGCCAUUUUUCUGUUAACCAUUUUAAAACCUUACGUGGUUUGGAUCUGCAUCCCUGCCCAAAUCUCAUAUCAAGUUGUUUAAAAGUGUAUAGCACCAGCUGGUUGUGGUGGCUUACGCCUGUAAUCCCAGCACUUUGGGAGGCCGAGGCAGGUGGGUCAUGAGGUCAGGAGUUCGAGACCAGCCUGGCCAAUAAGGUGAAACCCCAUCUCUACUAAAAAUACAAAAAAAAAAAAAAAAAUUUAGCCGGGCAUGGUGGCAUGUGCCUGUAGUCCCAGUUACUCGGAAGGCUGAGGCUUGAACCCAGGAGGUGGAGACUGCAGUGAGCCGUGAUCUCACCAUUGCACUCCUGCCUGGGCGACAGAGUGAGACUCCAUCUGAAAACAAAACAAAACAAAAAGUGUAUACCACCUCCCCCUUCUCUCUAUCCCUCCUGCUCCAGCCAUGUAAGAUGAGCCUGCUUCCCCUUCACCUUCCGCCAUGAUUGUAAGUUUCCUGAGGCCUCCCCACCCAUGCUUGCCUGCAGAACUGUGAGCCAAUUAAACCUCUUUUCUUUAUAAAUUACCCAGUCUCAGGCAUUUCUUUUUUUUUUUUUUUAGCUGGAGUCUCGUUCUAUUGCCCAGGCUGGAGUGCAGUGGCACGAUCUCGGCUCACUGCAAGCUCUGCCUCCCGGCUUCACGCCAUUCUCCUGCCUCAGCCUCCUGAGUAGCUGGGACUACAGGCGCCUGCCACCACACCCGGCGAAUUUUUUGUAUUUUUAGUAGAGAUGGGUUUUCACCGUGUUAGCCAGGAUGGUCUUGAUCUCUUGACCUCGCGAUCCACCCGCCUUGGCCUCCCAAAGUGCUGGGAUUACAGGCAUGAGCCACCGCACCCGGCCAUCUUAGGCAUUUCUUUCUUUUUUCUUUUCUUUUUUUUUUUUCCUGGACAGAGUCUUACUCUUACUUAUUGUAGUACAGUGCAAGUCACAUCUUACGUGGAUGGCAGCAUGCAAAAAGGGCUUGUGCAGGGAAACUCCUGUUUUUAAAACCAUCAGAUCUCGUGAGACCCAUUCGCUAUCACAAGAACAACACAAGAAGGACCUGCCCCACUGAUUCAAUCAUCUCCCACCAGGUCCCUCCCACAACGCAUGGGAAUUAUGGCAGCUACAAGAUGAGAUUUGGCGGGGGACACAGAGCCAAACCAAUCAGUAAACAUUUACUAAAAUCUGGGUGAUGGGUUUAGGGAUGUUCACUGCAAAAUUUCACCCUUGGUGUACAUUUGAAUUUUUUUUUUUUUUUCAAGACAGUGUUUCACUCUGUUGCCCAGGCUGGAUUACAAGCGUGAACCACCGCGCCUCUUCGCAAAAAACCUACUUGAGACUGAGUAAUUUAUAAACACAAGAGGCUUAAUUAACUCAGUUCCACAUGGCUGGGAAGGCCUCAGGAACUUUCAAUCAUGUGGGAAGGCAAAGGGGAAACAAGAUACAUCUUACAUAGCUGAAGGGGCGGGUUGCCCCUCCACACCUGUGUGUGUUUCUCGUUAGGUGGAACAAGAGACUUGGAAAAGAAAAAGACACGGAGACAAAGUAUAGAGAAAGAAAUAAGGGGGCCCAGGGGACCAGCGUUCAGCAUAUGGAGGAUCCUGCCAGCCUCUGAGUUCCCUUAGUAUUUAUUGAUCAUUCUUGGGUGUUUCUCUCUCAGAGAGGGGGAUGUGGCAGGGUCAUAGGAUAAUAGUGGAGAGAAGGUCAGCAGAUAAACAGGUGAACAAAGGUCUCUGCAUCAUAGACAAGGUAAAGAAUUAAGUGCUGUGCUUUAGAUAUGCAUACAC
rnacentral:lncRNA from 10 species